rnacentral:rRNA from 1 species
AUUGAACGCUGGCGGCAUGCCUUACACAUGCAAGUCGAACGGCAGCAUGAUCUAGCUUGCUAGAUUGAUGGCGAGUGGCGAACGGGUGAGUAAUACAUCGGAACGUGCCCUGUAGUGGGGGAUAACUAGUCGAAAGAUUAGCUAAUACCGCAUACGACCUGAGGGUGAAAGUGGGGGACCGCAAGGCCUCAUGCUAUAGGAGCGGCCGAUGUCUGAUUAGCUAGUUGGUGGGGUAAAGGCCCACCAAGGCGACGAUCAGUAGCUGGUCUGAGAGGACGAUCAGCCACACUGGGAGUGAGACACGGCCCAGAAUCCUACGGGAGGCAGCAGUGGGGAAUUUUGGACAAUGGGGGCAACCCUGAUCCAGCAAUGCCGCGUGUGUGAAGAAGGCCUUCGGGUUGUAAAGCACUUUUGUCCGGAAAGAAAUCGCACUUACUAAUAUUAGGUGUGGAUGACGGUACCGGAAGAAUAAGGACCGGCUAACUACGUGCCAGCCGCCGCAGUAA